AUUGAACGCUGGCGGCAGGCCUAACACAUGCAAGUCGAGCGAGCGGCGGACGGGUGAGUAAUGUAUGGGCCUCUGCCCGAUAGAGGGGGAUAACUACUGGAAACGGUUGCUACUACCGCAUACUAUCGGAUGUACCCAUAUGGGAUUAGCUAGUGGGUGGGGUAAAGGCUCACCUAGGCGACGAUCUCUAGCUGGUCUGAGAGGAUGACCAGCCACACUGGGACUGAGACACGGCCCAGACUCCUACGGGAGGCAGCAGUGGGGAAUCUUCGACAAUGGGCGAAAGCCUGACCGAGCAACGCCGCGUGAGGGAAGAAGGUUUUCGGGUCGUAAAGCACUGUUGUUAGGGAAGCGGUAUCUAAAGAAGAAGCCACGGCUAACUACGUGCCAGCAGCCGCGGUAAUAC
rnacentral:rRNA from 1 species